rnacentral:rRNA from 1 species
UUAAGCGACUAAGCGUACACGGUGGAUGCCCUGGCAGUCAGAGGCGAUGAAGGACGUGCUAAUCUGCGAAAAGCGUCGGUAAGGUGAUAUGAACCGUUAUAGCCGGCGAUGUCCGAAUGGGGAAACCCAGUGCAAUUCGUUGCACUAUCGUUUGAUGAAUACAUAGUCAAACGAGGCGAACCGGGGGAACUGAAACAUCUAAGUACCCCGAGGAAAAGAAAUCAACCGAGAUUCCCCCAGUAGCGGCGAGCGAACGGGGAGCAGCCCGGAGUCUGAAUCAGCUUGUGUGUUAGUGGAAGCGUCUGGAAAGUCGCAGGGUACAGGGUGAUACUCCCGUACACUAAAGCACACAGGUUGUGAACUCGAAGAGUAGGGCGGGACACGUGGUAUCCUGUCUGAAUAUGGGGGGACCAUCCUCCAAGGCUAAAUACUCCUGACUGACCGAUAGUGAACCAGUACCGUGAGGGAAAGGCGAAAAGAACCCCGGCGAGGGGAGUGAAAAAGAACCUGAAACCGUGUACGUACAAGCAGUAGGAGCCUCUUUAUGGGGUGACUGCGUACCUUUUGUAUAAUGGGUCAGCGACUUAUAUUCUGUAGCAAGGUUAACCGUAUAGGGGAGCCGCAGGGAAACCGAGUCUUAACUGGGCGUUAAGUUGCAGGGUAUAGACCCGAAACCCGGUGAUCUAGCCAUGGGCAGGUUGAAGGUUGGGUAACACUAACUGGAGGACCGAACCGACUAAUGUUGAAAAAUUAGCGGAUGACUUGUGGCUGGGGGUGAAAGGCCAAUCAAACCGGGAGAUAGCUGGUUCUCCCCGAAAGCUAUUUAGGUAGCGCCUCGUGAACUCAUCUUCGGGGGUAGAGCACUGUUUCGGCUAGGGGGUCAUCCCGACUUACCAACCCGAUGCAAACUACGAAUACCGAAGAAUGUUAUCACGGGAGACACACGGCGGGUGCUAACGUCCGUCGUGAAGAGGGAAACAACCCAGACCGCCAGCUAAGGUCCCAAAGUCAUGGUUAAGUGGGAAACGAUGUGGGAAGGCCCAGACAGCCAGGAUGUUGGCUUAGAAGCAGCCAUCAUUUAAAGAAAGCGUAAUAGCUCACUGGUCGAGUCGGCCUGCGCGGAAGAUGUAACGGGGCUAAACCAUGCACCGAAGCUGCGGCAGCGACACUAUGUGUUGUUGGGUAGGGGAGCGUUCUGUAAGCCGUUGAAGGUGGCCUGUGAGGGUUGCUGGAGGUAUCAGAAGUGCGAAUGCUGACAUAAGUAACGAUAAUGCGGGUGAAAAACCCGCACGCCGGAAGACCAAGGGUUCCUGUCCAACGUUAAUCGGGGCAGGGUGAGUCGACCCCUAAGGCGAGGCCGAAAGGCGUAGUCGAUGGGAAACAGGUUAAUAUUCCUGUACUCGGUGUUACUGCGAAGGGGGGACGGAGAAGGCUAUGUUGGCCGGGCGACGGUUGUCCCGGUUUAAGCAUGUAGGCGGAUGUUCCAGGUAAAUCCGGAACGUUAUCAACGCUGAGGUGUGAUGACGAGGCACUACGGUGCUGAAGUGACAAAUGCCCUGCUUCCAGGAAAAGCCUCUAAGCAUCAGGUAACAUCAAAUCGUACCCCAAACCGACACAGGUGGUCAGGUAGAGAAUACCAAGGCGCUUGAGAGAACUCGGGUGAAGGAACUAGGCAAAAUGGUGCCGUAACUUCGGGAGAAGGCACGCUGAUAUGUAGGUGAAGUGGUUUACCCAUGGAGCUGAAAUCAGUCGAAGAUACCAGCUGGCUGCAACUGUUUAUUAAAAACACAGCACUGUGCAAACACGAAAGUGGACGUAUACGGUGUGACGCCUGCCCGGUGCCGGAAGGUUAAUUGAUGGGGUUAUCCGUAAGGAGAAGCUCUUGAUCGAAGCCCCGGUAAACGGCGGCCGUAACUAUAACGGUCCUAAGGUAGCGAAAUUCCUUGUCGGGUAAGUUCCGACCUGCACGAAUGGCGUAAUGAUGGCCAGGCUGUCUCCACCCGAGACUCAGUGAAAUUGAACUCGCUGUGAAGAUGCAGUGUACCCGCGGCAAGACGGAAAGACCCCGUGAACCUUUACUAUAGCUUGACACUGAACACUGGUCCUUGAUGUGUAGGAUAGGUGGGAGGCUUUGAAGUGUGGACGCCAGUCUGCAUGGAGCCAUCCUUGAAAUACCACCCUUUAAUGGCUGGUGUUCUAACGUGGGCCCCUAAUCGGGGUUGCGGACAGUGUCUGGUGGGUAGUUUGACUGGGGCGGUCUCCUCCUAAAGAGUAACGGAGGAGCACGAAGGUCAGCUAAUCCUGGUCGGACAUCAGGAGGUUAGUGCAAUGGCAUAAGCUGGCUUGACUGCGAGCGUGACGGCGCGAGCAGGUGCGAAAGCAGGUCAUAGUGAUCCGGUGGUUCUGAAUGGAAGGGCCAUCGCUCAACGGAUAAAAGGUACUCCGGGGAUAACAGGCUGAUACCGCCCAAGAGUUCAUAUCGACGGCGGUGUUUGGCACCUCGAUGUCGGCUCAUCACAUCCUGGGGCUGAAGUAGGUCCCAAGGGUAUGGCUGUUCGCCAUUUAAAGUGGUACGCGAGCUGGGUUUAGAACGUCGUGAGACAGUUCGGUCCCUAUCUGCCGUGGGCGCUGGAGAAUUGAGGGGGGCUGCUCCUAGUACGAGAGGACCGGAGUGGACGCAUCACUGGUGUUCGGGUUGUCAUGCCAAUGGCAUUGCCCGGUAGCUAAAUGCGGAAGAGAUAAGUGCUGAAAGCAUCUAAGCACGAAACUUGCCCCGAGAUGAGUUCUCCCUGACUCCUUGAGAGUCCUGAAGGAACGUUGAAGACGACGACGUUGAUAGGCCGGGUGUGUAAGCGCAGCGAUGCGUUGAGCUAACCGGUACUAAUGAACCGUGAGGCUUAACCUU